UUUCUCUGUCUGACUUACUUCAUUCAGUAUGACAAUCUCUAGGUCCAUCCAUGUUGCUGCAAAUGGCAUUAUUUCAUUCUUUUUAGUGGCUGAGUAAUAUUCCAUUGUAUAUAUGUACCACAUCUUCUUUAUCCAUUCCUCUGUCGAUGGACACUUAGGUGACUUCCAUGUCUUGGCUAUUGCAAACAGGGCUGCAAUGAACAUUGGGGUGCAUGUAUCCUUUCGGACCAUGUUUUUCUCCAGAUAUAUGCCCAGGAGUGCCAUAAACAAAAUGGAAAGACAACCCACAGAAUGGGAGAAAAUAUUUGCAAACAAUGUGACUGACAAGGGAUUAAUCUCCAAAAUAUACAAACAGCUCAUACAGCAACAGCAAACUAUAAAGGUUCAGUUACAAAAACUUGAGUCUUGCUAAUGGUGACCAACAUUCAGGUGACUCACAAUCCAGUUAUUCAUUCUGAUAAGAAACCAUCUCACCAUCAUAUCUUCCAGCCUACAUGCCCUUAUCUUUUCUCCAAAAGCCUCAACUCAGACAAGCAAACCCACCAGGAUUAUUGGACUAUAGCAAUAUUUCUCUCUCUAUUCUUAUAACCAAUUGUAAUUCAAAUAAAUAAUUUUACUUGUA